rnacentral:rRNA from 1 species
UACGAAGGGGGCUAGCGUUGCUCGGAAUCACUGGGCGUAAAGCGCACGUAGGCGGAUUGUUAAGUCAGGGGUGAAAUCCUGGAGCUCAACUCCAGAACUGCCUUUGAUACUGGCGAUCUUGAGUCCGGGAGAGGUGAGUGGAACUGCGAGUGUAGAGGUGAAAUUCGUAGAUAUUCGCAAGAACACCAGUGGCGAAGGCGCUCACUGGCCCGGUACUGACGCUGAGGUGCGAAAGCGUGGGGAGCAACAGG